rnacentral:rRNA from 1 species
AAACAUCGCCUCCUGCAGUAUAUAGGAGGUCCAGCCUGCCCAGUGACCAAGUUAAACGGCCGCGGUACCCUAACCGUGCGAAGGUAGCGCAAUCACUUGUUCUUUAAAUGAGGACUAGUAUGAAUGGCAUCACGAGGGUUACACUGUCUCCCACCUCUAAUCAGUGAAACUGAUCUCCCCGUGAAGAAGCGGGGAUAAAACUAUAAGACGAGAAGACCCCAUGGAGCUUCAAACCCGGCAUCAACCAUUAACAUUAAUACCACAUUAAAUAAGUGGACCUGACUGCUGGUUUUAGGUUGGGGUGACCGCGGAGCAUAACAAAACCUCCAUGAUGAACGACCUCCUCUCUAAUCCGAGAGCCACCACUCAAAGAAUCAAAAAAUUGACAUUUAUUGACCCAAACUAUUUUGAUCAACGAACCAAGUUACCCUGGGGAUAACAGCGCAAUCCAUUUCAAGAGCCCCUAUCGACAAAUGGGUUUACGACCUCGAUGUUGGAUCAGGGUAUCCUAGUGGUGCAGCCGCUACUAAAGGUUCGUUUGUUCAACGAUUAAAACCCUACGUGAUCUGA